CUCGCUGCGGUGGUGGUCGAGGUCCUCUCGGCUGCGGUGGUGUCGAGGCUCUCUCGGCUGCGGUGGUGGUCGAGGCUCCUCUCGGCUGCGGUGGUGGUCGAGGCUCCUCUCGCUGCGUGGUGGUCGAGGCUCCUCUCGGCUGCGGUGGUGGUCGAGGCUCCUCUCGGCUGCGGUGGUGGUCGAGGCUCCUCUCGGUCGGUGGUGGUCGAGGUCCUGCGUGUCGGGCUCUCUCGGCUGCGGUGGUGGUAGUAGAGGGUUCUCUCGGCUGCGGUAGUAGUAGUAGUAGAGGGUUCUCUCGGCUGCGGUAGUAGUAGUAGUAGAGGGUUCUCUCGGCUAGAGGUUGACCGAUUAUGAUUUUUCAACGCCGAUACCGAUUAUUGGAGGACCAUCAAAGCCGAUACCGAUUAAUCGGUAAAAAAUAUAUAUACAUUAAAACAUGUAUUUGUAAUAAUGACAAUUACUACAAUACUGAAUUAACACUUAUUUUAACUUAAUAUAAUACAUCAAUAAAAUCAAUUUAGCCUCAAGUAGAUAAUGAAACAUGUUCAAUUUGGUUUAAAUAAUGCAAAAACAAAGUGUUGGAGAAGUACGUAAAAGUGCAAUAUGUGCUAUGUAAGAAAGCUAACGUUUCAGUUCCUUCCUCAGAACAUGAGAACAUAUGAAAGCUGGUGGUUCCUUUUAAUGAGUCGUCAAUAUUCCCAGGUAAGAAGUUUUAGGUUGUAGUUAUUAUAGGACUAUUUCCCUCUAUACCAUUUGUAUUUCAUUAACCUUUGACUAUUGGAUGUUCUUAUCGGCACUUUAGUAUUGCCAGUGUAACAAUAUAGCUUCCGUCCCUCUCCUCUGUCCUCCCUGAGCUCGAACCAGCAACACAACGACAACAGCCACCACAUCGAAGCAGCGUUACCCAUGCAGAGCAAGGGAAACGACCACCCCAAGGCUCAGAGCGAGUGAUGUUUAUUAGCGCGCACUAACUAGCUAGCCAUUUCACUUCGGUUACACCAGCUUCAUCUCGAGAGUUGAUAGGUUUGAAGUCAUAAACAGCGCAAUGCUUGACGUACAACGAAGAGCUGCUGGCAAAACGCAUGAAAGUGCUGUUUGAAUGAAUGUUUAUGUGCCUGCUUCUGCCUACCACCGCUCAGUCAGAUACUUAGAUACUUGUAUGCUCAGUCAGAUUAUAUGCAACGCAGGACACGCUAGUUAAUAUCUAGUAAAACCAUCAACCAUGUGUAGUAGUUAACUAGUGAUUAUGAUUGUUUUUUAUAAGAUAAGUUUAAUGCUAGCUUGCAACUUACCUUGGCUUACUGCAUUUGCGUAACAGGCAGUCUCCUUGUAGAGGGCUCUCUCGGCUGCGGCAGUUGUAGUAGAGGGCUCUCUCGGCUGCGGCAGUGGUAGUAGAGGGCCCUCUCGGCUGCGGCAGUUGUAGUAGAGGGCUCUUCGGCCUGCUCGGCAGUUGUCUUGUAGUAGAGGGCUCUCUCGGCUCGCGGCAGUUGUAGUAGAGGGCUCUCUCGGCUGCGGCAGUUGUAGUAGAGGUCUCUUCGGCUCUGCGGCCGUCGUGCGGUUAGUAGAGGGCCCUCUCG
rnacentral:lncRNA from 1 species